rnacentral:lncRNA from 1 species
AUUGCACCCCCUUCUGUGAGCAUGCACAAACUCAGCUUGAUGCCCAAGCCCUUCAAUUUGUCUUGUUAGAAAACCCUGUGUUAAAGAGACCAUUAAAACAAGAGGGAAAGAUAAAUUGCCUGAAGCUGCAAGACUCAGGAGGCAAGGGAGAGCAGGUGAUGGAAAACAGGCCUGUGAUUAGAGGGCAGGGGGUGGCACAGGAGCCAGAGCAGGCAAAAACAUCCACUGGAGAUGUCAAAAUAUUUGAAAAUCCUCUUCCUUUGGUGAAUUGAGUUACCAAAAUGUAUUUUUUUUUUUUUUUUGCAUGCGGAGAAGAGUCUGAGAUAGAGGUUAAGAAUAUAGUUUCCAGAGUGAGGCAGAACUAGGCUCUGUCCCUUCCCAGCUGCUGUCAGACCUCAGGCAAAUCUCUGAACCUCUCUGACCCUCGGUUUCCUCAUCUAGCAAGAGGGGACAAUGGAGAGCUCAAGCUGGCCUGUUGGAAGAUGACAGGCCAUAUGCAACAGACGUGAAGUGUCCCAGCUGAUCCCCUUCCAGAACACCCACCUUCCAGAUGACCACAGAUGCAAGGGUGAGCCAGCCAAUAGCUGCUGAGACAUUCCCAGAAAGACAGAACAUCCAGCUGACCCAUGGACUCAUGGGCGAUCAUGGAUAAAUGGAUAUUGUUUCAAGCUACUAGGUUUGGGGUUGGUUUGUUACGCAGCAAUAGCUAACAGCUACACCUCUAUUUUAAGGAGUUGUGAAGAUAAAUUGCAAAGGUACAGAAAAAUGAAUAGCUAUAACAGCUACUAGUGAUUGAGUGCUGGCUCUGCCUGGUACUGUGCUCAGGAUUGGCAUGCAUUAUCUCAAAGAGUUGCACAGGCUAGAAGGGCUGCAGCUGAAGAUUCUAGAAGAGUUCAGGUAUAAUGCCUGGCACAUGGUACCUGUUUCAUGUAUGCUAGUUGUUGGAUGCUGCUGAUGCUGGCAGCACGUGGAACUCCUGACACAUGCCUCUGAUUUGGUAGUGGGGUCUGAACUUUGUAAUCUGUGUGUCCAGAGACCUUGGGAAGUCUUCAGCCAAGGGCAGACCAGGAGGUAGCUUUUGUGAUCUGAGUGCAGAGAAGUUUCUUAGAGUGAAUGGCAUCCAGAUAGGGUGGGGAAAAAGCAUUAGCCAGGGUGCUCCACACACUCCCCUCACUAGUGUGGUCCCUGGACCAGCAGCCUCAGCCUCCCCUGGGCCCUUAUUAGAAAUGCAGAAUCUCAGGUCCUACCCCUGCUUACUGAAUCAGUAAGAGCAUUUUAACAAGAUCCCCAGGGGAUUUGUGUGCAUGUUAGAGUUUGUCCAGAACACUCUUCUCAAGCUAUCUGUGCUGAGACACCAGUAUUUUUUUCAAAUUCCAAUUUAUUGCAGAAUGACAGUUUUAAAAAAUGCAGUAAAAAAGCAAAUUCCUAGAAAAAUUAAAUGAAAAAUAAAAUAUACAAAAUCUAA